rnacentral:rRNA from 1 species
UACAGAGGUCCCAAGCGUUGUUCGGAUUCAUUGGGCGUAAAGGGUGCGUAGGCGGCGCGGUAAGUCGGGUGUGAAAUCUCGGGGCUUAACUCCGAAACUGCAUUCGAUACUGCCGUGCUUGAGGACUGGAGAGGAGACUGGAAUUCAUGGUGUAGCAGUGAAAUGCGCAGAUAUCAGGAGGAACACCGGUGGCGAAGGCGGGUCUCUGGGCCGAUAUUGACGCUGAGGAGCGAAAGCGUGGGGAGCGAACAGG